CGAAACCACAAGGAUCUGGCAGUCCAAAAAUAAAUGAAUAGAUUACCACGGCGAUAGUGGGAAUAGAUUGAAGGAUUGUCGAACGCAAAAUAGUCAUCCAGCCCACUCAGGCUUUGGACAAAAUAAACAAUGAGGAAACAUUCUCACAAAGUGCUUAAAUGCAGCAAUAACAACUGCAGCAUGUGUUGUGUACAAACAGAGAGUACUUUACUCUGGUUCCGGUUCAGGGGAUGAUUGCAGUUCCAAUUCUUCCCAUUGUUUUUUUAGGACGACAACUUGGGCUUGAUCACCCAGGCCUGGUCACCCAGUAAUGAAAACACAACAAAAAAUCGAAAUUCAAAAUAAAUAAAAAAGAGAAACAGAAACAGAAACAUAAAUAAUGCAGCUCUAGGUACUUCGGUAAUCACACAAAUGGUACUCGAGCAAUGGCUAAACUGGUUGUCCCAAAGAUGUGAGUAGAGCCCAGCAGACGGCCAAUUAAAUGCUUAUAAAGGUUGGAUUUAUGUGAGACGGUUGACAGGAUGAAAAGUUCGUCGGCUGUGCUAUUUAACUACCCCCCGGCGAAAUCUCCAUAUGCAAACAGUCUUUAUCCCCCGGCUGCUCAUCAGAGCACAUAUGCGUAUCUGUAUCCACAAAAUUAUUGAAUCUUUGCAUGUGCCGUGUCACACACCCAUUAUGGAUGAACGAAAAUUAAUAAAUCUCGAAAUUAGAAUGCAUAUUCCAUAUAAGGUAUGCGAUAUCGGUACAAUUGUGAAGUGAUAUGGGCAAAUAACUUAAAUCGUAAAUUGGUUGUAAUCGCCGAGGGCAAUAAAUUUCGUCUUUAUCAGAUGGCGAAUGGAAUGUGAUUUGAAUUUCGCCGCUUCUGGUCGGUCUGAGGUCAGCCCUUUAUUUAUUUAUUAUUUUGUAUUCAUAUUUGCGAAAAAUAAAAA